AACGAACGCUGGCGGCAUGCCUAACACAUGCAAGUCGAACGAAGCCUUCGGGCUUAGUGGCGCACGGGUGCGUAACGCGUGGGAAUCUGCCCUUUGGUUCGGAAUAACAGUUGGAAACGACUGCUAAUACCGGAUGAUGACGAAAGUCCAAAGAUUUAUCGCCAGAGGAUGAGCCCGCGUAGGAUUAGCUAGUUGGUGUGGUAAAGGCGCACCAAGGCGACGAUCCUUAGCUGGUCUGAGAGGACGAUCAGCCACACUGGGACUGAGACACGGCCCAGACUCCUACGGGAGGCAGCAGUGGGGAAUAUUGGACAAUGGGCGAAAGCCUGAUCCAGCAAUGCCGCGUGAGUGAUGAAGGCCCUAGGGUUGUAAAGCUCUUUUACCCGGGAUGAUAAUGACAGUACCGGGAGAAUAAGCCCCAGCUAACUCCGUGCCAGCAGCCGCAGUAA
rnacentral:rRNA from 1 species